rnacentral:rRNA from 1 species
AGAGUUUGAUCAUGGCUCAGGAUGAACGCUGGCGGCGUGCCUAACACAUGCAAGUCGAGCGGUAUAUAGUGGAAUGAAACUUCGGUCGAGUGAAGCUAUAGAGAGCGGCGGACGGGUGAGUAACGCGUAGGCAACCUGCCCCAUACAGAGGGAUAGCCUCGGGAAACCGGGAUUAAAACCUCAUAACGCGAGGAGUUCACAUGGACUACUCGCCAAAGAUUUAUCGGUAUGGGAUGGGCCUGCGUCUGAUUAGCUAGUUGGUGAGGUAACGGCUCACCAAGGCGACGAUCAGUAGCCGACCUGAGAGGGUAAUCGGCCACAUUGGAACUGAGACACGGUCCAAACUCCUACGGGGGGCAGCAGUGGGGAAUAUUGCACAAUGGGCGAAAGCCUGAUGCAGCAACGCCGCGUGAGCGAUGAAGGCCUUUGGGUCGUAAAGCUCUGUCCUUGGGGAAGAAACAAAUGACGGUACCCUUGGAGGAAGCCCCGGCUAACUACGUGCCAGCAGCCGCGGUAAUACGUAGGGGGCGAGCGUUAUCCGGAAUUAUUGGGCGUAAAGAGUGCGUAGGUGGCCAUGUAAGCGCGGGGUGAAAGGCAAUAGCUUAACUAUUGUAAGCCUUGCGAACUGUGUGGCUUGAGUGCAGGAGAGGAAAGUGGAAUUCCUAGUGUAGCGGUGAAAUGCGUAGAUAUUAGGAGGAACACCAGUGGCGAAGGCGACUUUCUGGACUGUAACUGACACUGAGGCACGAAAGCGUGGGGAGCAAACAGGAUUAGAUACCCUGGUAGUCCACGCCGUAAACGAUGAGCACUAGGUGUCGGGGUCGCAAGACUUCGGUGCCGCAGUUAACGCAUUAAGUGCUCCGCCUGGGGAGUACGCACGCAAGUGUGAAACUCAAAUGAAUUGACGG